UACGUAGGGUGCAAGCGUUGUCCGGAAUUAUUGGGCGUAAAGAGCUUGUAGGCGGUUUGUCGCGUCUGCUGUGAAAUUUCGGGGCUCAACCCCGAACUUGCAGUGGGUACGGGCAGACUAGAGUGUGGUAGGGGAGACUGGAAUUCCUGGUGUAGCGGUGGAAUGCGCAGAUAUCAGGAGGAACACCAAUAGCGAAGGCAGCUCGCUGGGACGGUACUGACGCUAAGGCGCGAAAGCGUGGGGAGCGAACAGG
rnacentral:rRNA from 1 species